GUGAUUGGAUGGCAUGUGUUUGCAGGCUCCUUGCUCUGUGCAUUGAACUGUUGGCGCACCAUCCGCUUCAAUUUUUCCCCGAGCGCUUUUCUUGGCUCGUGGGUUCGGUUGGUAUCCUGUGUUGCUUACCCACGUGCGGGAAUKAAUYGGUUUUGAUGCUCUYAUUCGCCUUAUGCCUUACGGGGUGUGGGGUGGACGCGAGGCGGGCUYUGCGCUCCCGGCGUGCUUCGUGUUAAGUUGCGUGGCCGUCUUGGCGCGCGGAGUCUUCGCUCGCGCUCUCGGAUGCGGAAUGUUUAUGCGUGGGCRUGGGGCCUCGGCCUUGAUCCGCCUGAGCUUUACGCAAAUGUCCCUUGACACGAAUGACGGCCGCUCCCGUCUCGAAUUCCGCCGUGCGGGUCGUGCGGGCGUCGGCGUCACCGAGGAAUGCUACCUGGUUGAUCCUGCCAGUAGUCAUAUGCUUGUCUCAAAGAUUAAGCCAUGCAU
rnacentral:misc_RNA from 1 species